rnacentral:rRNA from 1 species
GAGUUUGAUCGUGGCUCAGAUUGAACGCUGGCGGCAUGCCUUACACAUGCAAGUCGAACGGCAGCACGGGAGCUUGCUCCUGGUGGGCGAGUGGCGAACGGGUGAGUAAUGCAUCGGAACGUAUCCUGGAGUGGGGGAUAACGUAGCGAAAGUUACGCUAAUACCGCAUAUUCUGUGAGCAGGAAAGCGGGGGACCUUCGGGCCUCGCGCUCUUGGAGCGGCCGAUGUCGGAUUAGCUAGUUGGUGAGGUAAAGGCUCACCAAGGCGACGAUCCGUAGCCAGGUCUGAGAGGAUGAUCUGCCACACUGGAACUGAGACACGGUCCAGACUCCUACGGGAGGCAGCGAGUGGGGAAUUUUGGACAAUGGGGGCAACCCUGAUCCAGCCAUGCCGCGUGAGUGAAGAAGGCC